rnacentral:lncRNA from 1 species
GGUUACGAGGCAGAAUCUCUCUGUCUCUUCUCUGCCUGUUCCUUCCAUCCCACAGUAAGGAAUGAUUCCAACCCAGAUCUUUCUGGCUAGGAUGUCACCCUCCAGACACACUGGACCUGCAUUGAAGGUGACAUCGAGAAGAAGAGCAAGCCUGCUGUGUGCCCUGGGUCAUCACAGCUCCUCAGAGCUGAGGACAAUGUGAGAAGUGGGACCUUCUAAGAGGCUAUCCAACUGGGUACGGGAAGCCGCAUCAGGCUCCUGGAGGAGGCGGUACAGUGUGAGGGGUAGAGCUGGAAGGCCACAGAGGUAUCUCAUGGAACCUGGAGCUAGCUCACCAAGUCGGCUAGAGUAGCCGACUAGCAAGCCAUGGGGACACCCCAGUCUCUGCAGACUCCAAGGAUUACCUGGGAUCCCUGGGGGUCCACUCCAAAGGCCAGGGCCCCCUGCCACCUGUCCCCACCAGAAACCUCCCAUCCUGUUGUCCCUCCAGCAGGGGAGCAGGAGCUAGUGCUGUUGCUAGGCAAGAGGAUGUAGCACAUAUAGAUCUUCCUGGACUUUAAUUAAAAACAUCUUUAGAAGUCGUCU